CGCGGGGUGGAGCAGUUCGGUAGCUCGUCGGGCUCAUAACCCGAAGGUCGCAGGUUCAAAUCCAGCCCCCGCUACCA
rnacentral:tRNA from 1 species